AGAAGAUAGAGGUUGUGGACUCAGGACUGAAGAGAACCCCUGAGUAGAACAUAACCAAGUUAAGUAUGAUCCUUUUCAGAAGUGAUUUGACUUGAGUCCCGAGACUUCCUUCAUUGUAGACCCACAAGUCAAACAAAAAGGUUUAUUCUUCAGUCAAAAGGAAGCAUAGUUUUAGUGGCACUAGGGAUUGAACCCAAGGCUUCCUGCAUGCUGGGUAAGUGAAUCCAGAGGCCUGGAAAGAUUUGGAGAUUUAGAGACCCCAGUUCUCGC
rnacentral:lncRNA from 1 species